rnacentral:rRNA from 1 species
ACGGGGUGCGUAACGCGUAUGCAAUCUACCUUUGCAGAGGGAUAGCCCAGAGAAAUUUGGAUUAAUACCUCAUAGUAUAGUACUUUGGCAUCAAGGAACUAUUAAAGUCACAACGGCAAAAGAUGAGCAUGCGUCCCAUUAGCUAGUUGGUAAGGUAACGGCUUACCAAGGCUACGAUGGGUAGGGGUCCUGAGAGGGAGAUCCCCCACACUGGUACUGAGACACGGACCAGACUCCUACGGGAGGCAGCAGUGAGGAAUAUUGGACAAUGGGCGCAAGCCUGAUCCAGCCAUGCCGCGUGCAGGAUGACGGUCCUAUGGAUUGUAAACUGCUUUUAUACAGGAAGAAACACUCCGACGUGUCGGAGCUUGACGGUACUGUAAGAAUAAGGAUCGGCUAACUCCGUG